GACGAACGCUGGCGGCGUGCCUAAUACGUGCAAGUAGAACGCUGAAGGAGGAGCUUGCUUCUCUGGAUGAGUUGCGAACGGGUGAGUAACGCGUAGGUAACCUGCCUGGUAGCGGGGGAUAACUAUUGGAAACGAUAGCUAAUACCGCAUAAGAGUAGAUGUUGCAUGACAUUUGCUUAAAAGGUGCAAUUGCAUCACUACCAGAUGGACCUGCGUUGUAUUAGCUAGUUGGUGGGGUAACGGCUCACCAAGGCGACGAUACAUAGCCGACCUGAGAGGGUGAUCGGCCACACUGGGACUGAGACACGGCCCAGACGCCUACGGGAGGCAGCAGUAGGGAAUCUUCGGCAAUGGACGGAAGUCUGACCGAGCAACGCCGCGUGAGUGAAGAAGGUUUUCGGAUCGUAAAGCUCGGUUGUAAGAGAAGAACGAGUGUGAGAGUGGAAAGUUCACACUGUGACGGUAUCUUACCAGAAAGGGACGGCUAACUACGUG
rnacentral:rRNA from 1 species